rnacentral:rRNA from 1 species
AGAACGAACGCUGGCGGCAUGCCUAACACAUGCAAGUCGAACGAGACCUUCGGGUCUAGUGGCGCACGGGUGCGUAACGCGUGGGAAUCUGCCCUUAGGUUCGGAAUAACAGUGGGAAACUACUGCUAAUACCGGAUAAUGACGUAAGUCCAAAGAUUUAUCGCCUAGGGAUGAGCCCGCGUAAGAUUAGCUAGUUGGUGAGGUAAAGGCUCACCAAGGCUACGAUCUUUAGCUGGUCUGAGAGGAUGAUCAGCCACACUGGGACUGAGACACGGCCCAGACUCCUACGGGAGGCAGCAGUGGGGAAUAUUGGACAAUGGGCGAAAGCCUGAUCCAGCAAUGCCGCGUGAGUGAUGAAGGCCGUUAGGUUGUAAAGUCUCUUUUACCCGGGAUGAUAAUGACAGUACCGGAGAAGUAAGCUCCGGCUAACUCCGUGCCAGCAGCCGC